AUUGAACGCUGGCGGCAUGCCUUACACAUGCAAGUCGAACGGCAGCACGGGAGCAAUCCUGGUGGCGAGUGGCGAACGGGUGAGUAAUGUAUCGGAACGUGCCCAGUCGUGGGGGAUAACGUAGCGAAAGCUACGCUAAUACUGCAUACGAUCUGUGGAUGAGAGCGGGGGACCGUAAGGCCUCGCGCGAUUGGAGCGGCCGAUAUCAGAUUAGGUAGUUGGUGGGGUAAAGGCCUACCAAGCCGACGAUCUGUAGCUGGUCUGAGAGGACGACCAGCCACACUGGGACUGAGACACGGCCCAGACUCCUACGGGAGGCAGCAGUGGGGAAUUUUGGACAAUGGGCGCAAGCCUGAUCCAGCAAUGCCGCGUGCAGGAUGAAGGCCUUCGGGUUGUAAACUGCUUUUGUACGGAGCGAAAAGGCUCUCUCUAAUACAGGGGGCUCAUGACGGUACCGUAAGAAUAAGCACCGGCUAACUACGUGCCAGCAGCCGCGGUAA
rnacentral:rRNA from 1 species